UACGUAGGGGGCUAGCGUUGUCCGGAAUCAUUGGGCGUAAAGCGCGCGUAGGCGGCCCGGUAAGUCCGCUCUGAAAGUCCAGGGCUCAACCCUGGAAAGCGGGUGGAUACUGCCGGGCUAGAAUCCGGAAGAGGCGAGUGGAAUUCCUGGUGUAGCGGUGAAAUGCGUAGAUAUCGGGAGGAACACCUGUGGCGAAGGCGGGUCUCUGGGCAACAACUGACGCUGAGGAGCGAAAGCGUGGGGAGCGAACAGG
rnacentral:rRNA from 1 species